CAGGGUGGACCCCAAGGCAGCUCCUCCAGCCAGCCACUUUGAAGCCUCUCGGGAAAAGCCUCUCCUGAUGCGCCAGCCCGGGACGGGAAAGCGGGAGUCUUCGGAAGCCAAAAGAAAGCCAAGACACACACACAAGUGCAUGCUGCCUGGGGGAGAAGAAGAAGAAGAAGAAAAUUCAGAAGAGCCACCUCAUCUUGCCGCUGCCACAUCAAAGGGGAGUCCAGUCCAGUGUCUCAGAGAAAACUGAGAGAAAGUACUAUCACCACGGCGGGCUAGUUUUGCGGUCCUGGAUGGGGAGCUGGCAGGGAUGUAGAACAACGCUCCCCAGAAGCCAUGGCUGGCUCCAGCAGGACAAGAUUUUUGGUCAACCCCGAGUCCUGCCCUGAGAAGCAACAGAGAUCCAGCCAUGUACACACAUUGAAAUGGGGCCGGAGUUCAGAG